GGAAGAUAUGCAGAAAAGUGGGCACAUGUGUUCUGAACAGAGGCUUUGAGAAGCAGCUUAUGUUCCUCUCUUUCGCCUGGGUUUGUGCGGUCUUCCGUGAGGACUGGGCCUAGGUUGCCACUGUCUCGUCUGCCUGGGCCCUCAAAUGACAAGCAGGCCUCAGAGAAGGAAGCUGACCUGAAACCCAAGCCCUGCCAAGCCCAGGCAGGCGACAGCUCAUCCACAAAUUCGUGAGUGAGAAAGAAAUGCUUGCUUCUUUAGGCGCCGGAAGGCUGUGUUUUAUGCUUUGUCAUUGCAGCCAAACGUAAAACACCUGCGCGAGGAACAGUGUCCCACCAAGUGCCAGGAGCACUCUCCCCUUGCUGCUCUGAAAACGCUGGACAUGGUACAUGAACAGGAAGCAGACUUAAUCCAGGACGAUGCGGAGGACAGGGUUGACACUAAAUGGAUAAGGACAUCUCAGUGGAAUUCUUCGCUCCAUCACAUUAAUAUCUCUAC
ensembl:lncRNA